AUUGAACGCUGGCGGCAGGCCUAACACAUGCAAGUCGAGCGAGCGGCGGACGGGUGAGUAAUGUAUGGGGAUUGCCCGAUAGAUGGGGAUAACUACUGGAAACUGUGGCUAAUACCGUAUACUAUCGGAUAACCCAUAUUGGAUUGGCUAGUAGGUGGGGUAAAGGCCAACCUAGGCGACGAUCUUUAGUUGGUCUGUGAGGAUGAUCAGCCAAACUGGGAGUGAGACACGGGCCAGACUCCUACGGAGGCAGCAGUGGGGAAUAUUGCACAAAGGGCGCAAGCCUGAUGCAGCCAUGCCGCGUGUAUGAAGAAGGCCUUAGGGUUGUAAAGUACUUUCAGCGGGGAGGCGUUACCCGCAGAAGAAGCACCGGCUAACUCCGUGCCAGCAGCCGCGGUAAUAC
rnacentral:rRNA from 1 species